AUUGAACGCUGGCGGCAUGCCUUACACAUGCAAGUCGAACGGCAGCACGGGUGCUUGCACCUGGUGGCGAGUGGCGAACGGGUGAGUAAUACAUCGGAACGUACCUUAUCGUGGGGGAUAACGCAGCGAAAGCUGUGCUAAUACCGCAUACGCCCUGAGGGGGAAAGCGGGGGAUCGAAAGACCUCGCGCGAUUAGAGCGGCCGAUGCCUGAUUAGCUUGUUGGUGGGGUAAAAGCCCACCAAGGCGACGAUCAGUAGCUGGUCUGAGAGGACGAUCAGCAACACUGGGACUGAGACACGGCCCAGACUCCUACGGGAGGCAGCAGUGGGGAAUUUUGGACAAUGGGGGCAACCCUGAUCCAGCAAUGCCGCGUGAGUGAAGAAGGCCUUCGGGUUGUAAAGCUCUUUUGUCAGGGAAGAAACACCGGCUCUAACACAGUCCGGGAAUGACGGUACCUGAAGAGUAGCACCGGCUAACUACGUGCCAGCCGCCGCAGUAA
rnacentral:rRNA from 1 species